UAUAGGAUAGAUCAGGUCGGUUUUCGUAGGUAGCAGCUACGAGACGUAAGGGGGAAAGUACGGUGCAAACCCGUCACUGUCCCGCAACUGUGAAUAUUUUAGAGAAUAUUUUGAGAAUAUUUUGAGAAUAUUUUAGAUAUUUUGGAGCUUGAGGUUAGCUGAUGGCAUUGUCAUUAAGUUUCUCUAAUUUGCCUCUAAUUUGUCUCUAAUUUAUAAGUCAGGAUGCCCGCCGACUGUUUGCUGUAAAU
rnacentral:ncRNA from 2 species